rnacentral:rRNA from 1 species
AGAGUUUGAUCCUGGCUCAGGAUGAACUCUGGCGGCGCGCCUAACACAUGCAAGUCGAACGGUUAAAGCACCUUUUAGGUGUGUAUAAAGUGGCGAACGGCUGAGUAACACGUGGGCAACCUGCCCUCCUCUUGGGGAUAGCCUCGGGAAACCGAGGAUAAUACCCGAUACUUCAAUGUGGCCGCAUGACGACAUUGAGAAAGCUUUUGCGGAGAAGGAUGGGCCCGCGGCCUGUUAGCUUGUUGGUGGGGUAGAGGCCUACCAAGGCAAUGAUGGGUAGCUGGGUUGAGAGACCGACCAGCCAGAUUGGGACUGAGACACGGCCCAGACUCCUACGGGAGGCAACAGUGGGGAAUCUUGCACAAUGGGCGAAAGCCUGAUGCAGCGACGCCGCGUGCGGGACGAAGGCCUUCGGGUUGUAAACCGCUUUCAGCAGGGACGAGGCGUAAGUGACGGUACCUGCAGAAGAAGCCCCGGCUAACUACGUGCCAGCAGCCGCGGUAAUACGUAGGGGGCAAGCGUUAUCCGGAUUCAUUGGGCGUAAAGCGCUCGUAGGCGGUCUGUUAGGUCGGGAGUUAAAUCCGGAGGCUCAACCUCCGUCCGCUCCCGAUACCGGCAGACUUGAGUUUGGUAGGGGAAAGGUGGAAUUCCUAGUGUAGCGGU